ensembl:snRNA U6 U6 spliceosomal RNA
GUGUUCGCUUUGGCAGCACAUAUGUUAAGAUAGGAAUGACACAGAGAAGUUUAGCAUGACCCCUGUGUGGGGAUGACAUGCAGAUUCAUGAAGAAUCAGCCUUGCAG